GAUGAACGCUAGCGGCAGGCCUAAUACAUGCAAGUCGGACGGGAUCCGUUGAUAGCUUGCUAUCAAUGGUGAGAGUGGCGCACGGGUGCGUCACGCGUGAGCAACCUGCCUCCAUCAGGGGGAUAGCCUCUCGAAAGAGAGAUUCACACCGCAUAAUAUCAACAGUUCGCAUGUUCAGUUGAUUAAAUAUUUAUAGGAUGGAGAUGGGCUCGCGUGACAUUAGCUAGUUGGUAGGGUAACGGCUUACCAAGGCGACGAUGUCUAGGGGCUCUGAGAGGAGACUCCCCGAGACUGGGACCGAGAAACGGACCAGACUCCUACGGGAGGCAGCAGUAAGGAAGAUAGGUCAAUGGGCGGAAGCCUGAACCAGCCAUGCCGCAUGCAGGAGGACUGCGCUAUGGGUUGUAAACUGCGGUUGGCCAGGAAUAAACCUAAAGACGAGUAUUUAGCUGAAGGUACUGGAAGAAUAAGGAUCGGCUAACUCCGUG
rnacentral:rRNA from 1 species